rnacentral:rRNA from 8 species
UGUAUAAUGGGUCAGCGACUUAUAUUCUGUAGCAAGGUUAACCGAAUAGGGGAGCCGAAGGGAAACCGAGUCUUAACUGGGCGUUAAGUUGCAGGGUAUAGACCCGAAACCCGGUGAUCUAGCCAUGGGCAGGUUGAAGGUUGGGUAACACUAACUGGAGGACCGAACCGACUAAUGUUGAAAAAUUAGCGGAUGACUUGUGGCUGGGGGUGAAAGGCCAAUCAAACCGGGAGAUAGCUGGUUCUCCCCGAAAGCUAUUUAGGUAGCGCCUCGUGAAUUCAUCUCCGGGGGUAGAGCACUGUUUCGGCAAGGGGGUCAUCCCGACUUACCAACCCGAUGCAAACUGCGAAUACCGGAGAAUGUUAUCACGGGAGACACACGGCGGGUGCUAACGUCCGUCGUGAAGAGGGAAACAACCCAGACCGCCAGCUAAGGUCCCAAAGUCAUGGUUAAGUGGGAAACGAUGUGGGAAGGCCCAGACAGCCAGGAUGUUGGCUUAGAAGCAGCCAUCAUUUAAAGAAAGCGUAAUAGCUCACUGGUCGAGUCGGCCUGCGCGGAAGAUGUAACGGGGCUAAACCAUG